rnacentral:rRNA from 1 species
UACGUAGGGUGCAAGCGUUGUCCGGAAUUAUUGGGCGUAAAGCGCGUGUAGGCGGCUUUGCAAGUCGGGUGUGAAAGCCCUCGGCUCAACCGAGGAAGUGCGCCCGAAACUGCAGAGCUUGAGUACCGGAGAGGAUGGCGGAAUUCCCCAAGUAGAGGUGAAAUUCGUAGAUAUGGGGAGGAACACCGGUGGCGAAGGCGGCCAUCUGGACGGAUACUGACGCUGAGACGCGAAAGCGUGGGGAGCAAACAGG